CCUGGCCCCGGAGCGGUUUAGCCGCUGCCUUGUGUCGCGGCCGCGUGCCGGGCGAUGGCCGCCCAGACCCCCGGGCCCCCGAUCGCCAACCCCGGGGCUUCCCACCCGCGCCUCGGUGGAGGGAGGCCCCGGAGGCGCCAUCGCUCGCGCCUGCCACCUGGACGCUGAAUAAACUGGGAAACAAUUAGGUGGCCGGGUGGGGAAGGUGCUGGGUGACUGCACUGCCAGGCGGCCGCGUGCCCCCGCGCUCGCAGGGGUUGGCGAUUGGGGGCGGUUGGGAGUUUGUGUUUAGGGAGGAAGGUGAGAGGUGCGGGAUCUGCCCACGAGGGCAGUCGCUCUCGGAGAAUCGGGGAAUGGCUCUGUCAGGUCGCAGGCCCUCCUCCGCCUUUAUCCCCAUCACGCACAAAAAGAAUGGGCCUUGCAAGGGAUGUUUAUUAUGCACUUUUAAGUGACUAUUCAGAAAAGAGCAGGAGGCACAAUAAAAAAGGCUUCUGCCCCACCAAUUCCCUUCCCUUGAAGAAAAAAAGAAAGAGAAAGCCACCCACAAAGGUAAGCUGGGCGUUUCAGAUUUUGUGGGGUUUGUUUUAUUUAUUUAUUUUUAAAGAAUCAAAAUAACAUUUUCCAGUUUGCGACUUACAUUUUCCAGUGCGUUUUUCUCAGGGCCAACCCAAGGGGCUAAUAAAAUCUGAGAGCUGUUAGUCCCAAAUACAUUUUGUGCGGGAGUUUGUGAAAGCAACUUUUGCCGAGUGCAAACGUCAGACGAUGAAACUGAAAAUACUUCCAAAGUCACAGGCUCCUCUUCCAAUCACAGCGCCUCACAUUUCCAGCGCUCCGGGAUAAAGUUGUCUGAGGAAAAUAAAAGUGUUGAUAAACCAUGGUUCCAGAUUGUUACUUAUUUUACAACCCUCGGUUUGCAAUCGAUCAUAGCUUGGGCCUAACAGGACUGACUCCGGCUUUUCAUUUGUUUAUAGUGUGUGCAAUGUUUUAUGCCUCAAAUGUACCAUGUCAGCUAUGUAAAAUAAUGCAGUAUUUUUGUUCGCAUCCUGGAUCCACUUGCACAAUGGUUUUUGUUUAAAAUGAAGGCGGUGAUUAUUUUCCAUUAUUACAGAAUGGAAACUUCAAUCCUAAACAUCUGAGAAACAUAGCUGAAGAAUCCACUGCUGAGCUGGGAAAAGCCGAGAGAAGCUCGUGUUUACUUGAUUCACAAAGUGCAAUUGACUCUAUUUAACUUGACCAAUUUAAAUCCAAUCUAAUAAACCACAAGCUUGCUUCCGCUUCAAAAAAGCCAACAGGCCACCCUGAGGCCCAAAGUCCAUCUUUCUCAGUGCCAUGAUGUCAAAUAAACCUGUGAUGCCCUUGUUUUUGCUAAGCGAAUGGCUCAUAUGUUGCAGUUAAUUUUUCUGGUGCAACAAUCACAUUGUAAUUUUCCAUGACUCUUCUCUAUAAGUACAAAGAAACCCUGGAAUCAUGGAAUUUUGAGCCAGAGGGAACCUCUUCACUUUACAUGGGAAGAAAUGGAGAGAGAGAGAGAGAGAGAGAAGUGAAGUGCCUGCCCGCUCUCACACGGGCUCUACCACCUGCCUCCAGGUCUCCCUGCUCCCUAACAGGUGGUUUCUCCCCGCCUCAGCCUCUUGAAGAGAUGGAAGGAAGGAAACUGGGAAAGGACUCAAGAGCAACACUUCAGGAAGCACAGGGAAACCAAGGGAAUGCAGUAACAGAAUUAACAGGAUGUGGGAAAGGUUCGAGUGAUAAAUCCAGGUGGUUAAAUGAGUUUCAAAGCAUCAGGAGCCAGGUCAUAAUAGAGAAACCAUGGGAAGGGCAGAGGCUGUGUAAAAAAUAAUCUGGGAAAAUAAGGACUGUGGAGAGAAAGCAAGUGCUUUUUAAGAUGUGUCAAACAUAGGGUCAAAGUUAGAUCAAGAGGAGAAAAGGAAAAGUCUGGGGGAAUGUCUGUAGACAGGCAGAAAGAGAGUGAGUGAACUGAUGUCCUAAAGAUUCCUUCUGUACGGCGCUGCUGAGGAAGAGAGCGUGACGAACGGCCUCACGAGAAUGAGCUAGUGCAGGGCUGAGAGACACAGGAAUGGCCGCAGUCAUGGUGAAUUGUGGGCAGUGGUGAGAGUUUCGUCCCAGGAGCAUGAUGAGAAUGCCAGCGCCUGACCCACAUCAAGGCUGCUUCAUCUGCGGCGAGAUGGAGAGUGUCCUAAACCAGUCAGCCCUCAGAUGAAGAAGCGUGCUGUCCAAUGUCACCCAGCAGCUGGGUGCCGGGCAGAGGAAAUUCAGGCUUUCUCUUCUGCAUCUGCGCAUGCCCACGGUCACGCCCCUUUCCUGGUUCGGAUUUGGAAUUGUUCAGUUAGGAAGGGCUCUGAAGAGAUGCCUUUCGAUUUCCUUGGGGUUAGCUGGUUCAAAUCUCCCUCAUGUAUAAACUAAGAAUGUGUUCUACAGUGUUCCUCAGCUUAUUAGUUUUCCUGGAAGAAAUGGAUGAUUCUCAUUGUCACUUGAAAACAUCCACAUUUUGGAAAUGCCUGGGCUAGCGAAGUGUAAUAAUAAAAUUCAUUUCAAUUGGUCAGUCUCGAAGGUUAAUUGAGCAGUUAUACUUUAUUCUAAUUAUUUCUGGCUAACAUUGAAGUGAUGGCAAAGUAGUAAGGAUUUUUGGCCAACUCCUUGGGUUUUUUCCUCUCUGUCAUUUUUUUUUUAAUGACUGCCCAGUGUGGGCAAGGACCUACUACUCAAAGCAGAUGACCUUGGCAGCAGUGUUUCUGAAAUCCUGGGUUCUGGAAUACUUUAAGGCUCUUCGUCACCUUUAAGAGCUGUCCUUAUGAGGCCAGGAAUCUAGCUGAGUUUGGUGUGGGUAGACAAUGGGAUGCUCUGGUUGCCUGGAAACCCUGGUGAACCGAUGGUGACCACAUCCGUUAUAAACCGGGGCCUGAUUCUUAGCAACUUCAAAGGUUUCUGGAGCAGCGCUAGCUGCCAGCUCUUCUUACAUAGAGCAACAGGCAGAAAUCGUUGGUAAUCUGGCAAAUGACAAACUUCAUACCCUAGGAUGUUUACUCUCUCUCUGUAUACUGAAUUUGCACACAAUCUAGAGUUAUUAUUUCCUCACAAAUAAUUUCUAUCUAAUGAAUAAUGAUGUCUUUGUUGUGAGCCGAUAGUCCAAGUAGCAAGUUUCCCCUAGUCAGAAUUAUCUACAACUAUUAUGUGUUUUCGCACUCAAACUUUUCUUACAGAAACAAAAACUUUUAUUAAAAUAGUUAGAAAUUAUUUUAAAAUUAGCAUAUAAAAUAAAGAAUGCAAUAUUCAAGCAGGAUACCCAUAAGCCAUUUCAAGCAUAAUUUAUGGUUACAUAGACAAUUUAAACAAUUAGGGAUUUUCCCCCACUGACUAUUAAUUCUUUUUAACGAUGGUUUUUCUCUCUCUGUUCCUCCCAAGCUAAAAAGCACAAGUUAUUUAUCUUUCCUGGUUUGUUCACUAUUUUCCAGGAUUUAUUUACAACCCCCUAAAAACGAGUGUUGAAACUCUUGCAUCUGCCCUAUUUCUGUUUACUCUACCCUUAUCUCCAGCUGGAAAACCAUAAGGAAAAGGAAUUUAAAGAAAAUUCUAAAUUCAUUACUCCCACUCUCUUCCUAUCUCACCAUAUUUGACUCAUCAAUAUGUGCUGAGCACUCACCAUGAGACAGACAUUGAGAAACAGGUGAACAAGUGUGGUCCCAGCCCUCCAGGAGCUUACAACCACCUGCGGACGGGGUACCUACAUGUACCCAGGAAAUGAUUAUGUAACGGAGUAAGUGCUAUAAGCACUUAGCCCAGCCUCAAAACUUUGGCGUAUUUUCAUAAGAAGAUGAAAAAAAUGAGGAAAAUUGUAUGAUAGCUUAUUUCAUGUUAACUUCAUGAUGGUCUUUUUCUAGCCAUAGACAUCAUCUUAAAAUCCCUCCUCUCCAACAGGUACUAGAAAUAUUCACUUAUUUACAGUUCUAGUAAGCUGUUAGCAACCACAGAUUUAAUUCUAAAUUAUCCCAUAGAAUGUACCUUUUCACAGAGCUUGAGUUUUAAAAGAAAUCCCAGACAUACUUGGUUCAGCAUUGACCUGUGUGACAUUGACUUGUUAGAGUGCCAUAUAUAUGAGAUCUAUUUUAAAUAUGUGUAUAUGUACAUCUAAUAUAUACAUGUUUCACUCUGGAUAUUAAAUUACAAGUUUGGUAGUGACUUGAGGUGCCAUUAAGAAAUUGGUCUAAGAGACCAAAUAUAAAAGUUGUCAGGCAAUUAGGAAUUGGUGAAAGUUCUUGGACUUGACAAAUGGUAUUAUAAACAAAUAUUGCUGUAGCUUGAGAAGGAUGGACCAACAAAUGUAUGACCACUAGCCAGAAGAAACCAUGGCUGGAGUGUGUCCUGACUUCAGGGGAUGUAAAGAGAAUGUUGGAGUGACUGCAAAGUAGAAUAUAGGAAUCUGCAUCCUCGGAGACUGUACUCUGACAAACCCGUUAUAUCAGAUGCUAUUGCUUUCACCUGUUUGUAGCAGGCCCCUACUCUACUGGCAUCACUAGGUAGGAAUUUGUUUUUCACUUGGCAGGAGGCAGGCCAGGGCUAGUUCAGAGGCCCUACAAUUCCAGGAGAAAUUCCGUUUCCUCUCUCUUCCUCUCUAUCAUCCUUAGCAUCUACUUUUUCCCCUUAUGGUGACAAGAUGACCCCUUUACCUCCAGGCAUCGUGUCUGUAUUCCAUGUAGAAAAGAAGAAGGGCAAAAGGUAUGUACCAGCUGAGUUCAUCCCUUUUUAUAGGAAAACAAUAGCUUGCUAAGGCCUCACCAAGUAGAGUCUACUUCUGUACCACUGGAUAGAACUAGGUCACAUGGCCUGAGCGUUAAAGAAUCUGGGGAGGUGAGAAAUGCUAACAGGGCACAUAGCCCAGGCCCAAACAAAUCCAAGGUAUCUUGUUAAGGCAAAAAGGAGAAAUGGACAUUGGGUAUAGAACCAGUGCUGAUUCCGUCAGUGUUUCCAAUUUUAAAAGAUGUCACCUCACACACUAAUGCAUUCAACUACCCUGUGUUUAUAUACAAUGUAGUACUGUUGUAAAAUAAACAUAUCAAAUCAUUUUUGUAUCUCAGUACUCUUUCCUUCAGUAAAGAGGUAGCAUUUUUGUAAAUGUAUCCAGUAACUUGACCAAUUUUAGAGGCUGUCAAGAAACCCAAUAUUACUUUAUAGUAAUAAAGAUAUAUACUCUACUUCAUUCUGGAUCUUAAUCUCACACUAUGCUAUAUUUUUAAAGGGUUUUGUGUCCUUACUGCUGGAAGUUUAUUUGCUGGCUUAUAAUAAAUGUAUGGCUAACAUUCAGUAAUGCUUUAAUACACAAGACCGGUGUGAAGGUAUUUGAGCAACCCCGGGAAUUGUGGUGAUCUGGGUGGUGAAAGAAGAGGAAGCGUUGGAUGGGCAAUAUAUUUCAAUGAUUAUAUAUGCCUAUCAUUAAAAAGCAUUUAUUAAGCACCUAUAUGCACGUAUCACUGUUGUCAAAGAGAUGUUUUACUCCAAUCAACUCUGGAUUUUAUUAAUCCUUUUACCUAUUUUUUAUAAACUGUUUUUCCACUCAGCAAUAUCUCAACCAGAGUAGACAGAGAGGGGCAGAUAAAGCUCAAACCAGUCAACCUAAUCGUGUUAUUAGCUAUAGUUAAAAGUUUGCUGAGGGAGGAGAUUGAAACUAUUUGUAAAAUGAGGUUUGUGUUUGUGGAUUUCAGUUAUCCCUGCUAUUCCUAGUACCUCUUUCCAUGGACAAUCAAGAGUUGGAUGAAUCUAAAACUAUUGUUUCGGAGCAAGAUUUGGUUGCUAUCUGUCAGAGAUCAUAAUUAGCAUCAAAAAGCAUUUAUUCCACCCUACUUUUUUAAAGGCAUUGUACUAGCUGGUAGCAGUGGGGACAUUUGGAAAAAGUAAUGUUAUAGCAGCCCUCUUACCACAUUGCACAUUUUCUUAGAAAAAGCAAGUAAUGAGUACAUAAGUGUAUAUAACCUUCAACAUGAUGGGAGGAAAGAAUACAAGUGUUUUUUUCCUCAAUAGUUAGAUUCGCAUUCUUAGGAGUCUGGCUGAAGGCAUCAGCCAACGUGUAUCAUCUCAUCCAGUUAUCCCAAAAGGGAAGUUUGAAUGUUCAAUUUACACAAACGUGUUGACUUAGGUUUUGCAAAUGAAGGACUUUUUUCUAAACAUCUCAUGCUAUGCUCCACGUUAGACUCUGCUCUCAGUCUUCCUUUGAUUGCAGCACAAAGAAACUUGACUCUGCCAAUUACUGUGUGACCUUAGGCAAGUCACUCACUUAACCUUUCUGGGCUUCCUUUCCUUCUUCUUAAAGUGGGGGCAGCAAAAUCUACUCUGCAGGGUUGUUAAUGGGGGAAAAAAGGUGACUUUGAAUGUAAAAUCACUUUGUAAAAUGUGACGUGCUAUACUAAUAUAUUAUUGUUUCAUUAAUCCAAACAUCCUAUUGAGGAGUUUUUAUCUGAUGCUGAGCAUCUGAAUGACUUUGAGCUUGGAAUAACUUUGAUGAAGUACCACACGGUCUCAAAGACCAGCCAUCGUUGGCCAGCUAAUUGGAAAAUCUCUGGUUUUGAAGUGAGUUCCAAGGUGGUAUAUAAUGCACUUCUGCUUCAGCCAUCCUAUUUAGGAUAAGCUACUUCGGAAAUAGUCACAAAUCAUUUUCCAGGUUUGCUAUAGUAAAUGGGUACUCAGCCUUCAGAAAGAACAGAAAGGUAGGUAGCCAUUGUCAUCAUUCAUUCAUUUAGUGUAGAGUGUUAUUAAUACCUAUGAAAUGUAUCAGAAGAAACCUUUACAUUUUUAUAUGCAUUUGCCCUUUUAAGGAAUGAAGUAACUAAAAUUAAGAUGACAUUGCUGAAAUGGGUGUGUCAGUCUUCACAAAUUGCUACCACCCAAAAUCUGGUUAUCGUUUUUCCUUUAUUUAUUUAAUUUUUAUUUUGUUUUAUUGAGGUAACAUUGGUUUAUAACAUUAUAUAAAUUUCAAGUGUACAUGAUUAUAUUUUGACUUCUGUAUAGACUACAUCAUGUUCACCACCAAAAGUCUAGUUGCCAUCCAUCACCAUACAUAUGUGCCCUUUACCCCUUUCGCCCUCCCCCUGCCCCCUUCCUCUCUGGUAACCACCAAUUUGUUCUCUCUAUCUAUGUGUUUGUUGGUUUGUUGGUUUAUCUUCUACAAUGUAUGAAAUCAUAUGGUAAUAGUCUCUCUCCCUCUGACUUAUUUCACUUAGCAUAAUACCCUCAAAGUCAUCCCUGUUGUCGCAAAUGGCAGUAUUUUUUUCUUUUUUACCACAUUUUCCUUAUCCAUUCAUCAGUUGAGGGGCAUUAAGUUUGCUUCCAUAUCUUGGCUAUUGUGAUUAAUACUGCAGUGAACACAGGGGUGUAUGUAUCUUUUCAAAUUAGUGUCUUCUCCUUUAUAACCUAAGUUUCAGCUUUGCUCUACUCAAAGGACUCCCAAUGAUGAAAAUAUCAUGUAAUUCUAGCCUAAUAUUUUGCAUUAAAUCAUCCAUGUGCUUUCAACUCUUUGGUUGUUGAUAUCACUAUAAAUCUUCUCUUGGGUACCCAGUUUUUAUAUCAAGCAUUUAUAAACUUCAUAAACAUUUGGUGGAAGAUGUUUUUUAUUAUUAUUUCUUUCUAAAUUUCUGCUCAAUUCUUCUGGUGAUUUGUAGCAGUAGGUGCAUGCUAAAUAACAUCAGGUAUUCCACCAAAGUAUUUUUUAAUGCACGCUUCCAAAAAUUUGUGGGUAAUUUCUAAAAUAGGUUCUGAGCAGAGGGUCUUAGAGAGGAAAAAGGAUCAUUAGUAUCCCUCCUCGGCUAAUUUAGCCAAGUACAUUCCACAACUCUCCCAAUCAGUAUAUUAAGCAGAUGUGGUCUUUGUCCACCUAGUAAGUUGCGUUAGACCUUUCAACACUCUGCAGCCUUUUUAUCACUCAGCUGCCAAGUUCCCUAGGGUAAUCAUAGACAGCUUGUCAAUUUAAUUGCAAAGAAACAGGCUUUCUUGUGACCAUUCCAAUUUUAGCUGCUACUUUAAAUUGUACAUGAUAGUUCUUCCAUGCUGUCUGCCCUUUAAACAGUGUGGAUCUCUGCAAGCCUCUUAAUGGUGAUGGAAAAAGGAGGCAACGCUGAAAAUCUGGCUUGCUGAUAGAGACUGUAACAUGCAUUUUAUUAAGUUGCUGCUUUAGGAGGGGAAGCUUUUCCUUAAGCCCAGUAUGCUGCCAUUACAUCACCUAAAUUAUUUUUUUUCUUUUCAAUCUUCCGCUUUCAUGCACAUUUUCCUCCUUUCUGGGUGAUAGAGGAUUCAUAGGCCAUCUGGAUUCUGAAACAUCUGGACACUGAAUUUCUGCAGAGGAGAAUCAGAGGGAAGAGACGAUCAGUGGUACUGGGUGUCUCUGGAGAGAUUUAAAUCAACGAGGAUAUUUUGGUUGUCUCCCUUUUGGAAAGUUAACACAAAAAGUGAAAGGAAAAAACAGCACCUCAUAGGAACCCAGUGUUUCAAGAAUGCUAAGAGUAUAAAAGACAGUCGGACUUUUAGAUAUAAAUUUAGGUCACUAACUGAAUACGUCUUUAUAUUAGAUAUCAUUUCUAGAAUUUUCCCCUAUUUUUUCAUUGUCAUGCAUUUUUGGAUUUAAUUUAGUUAGAUAUACUUUUAACAGUGCUGAAUUUAGAUACUGCAUCAUUUUUGCAUAACAUAUUUUACCUUAAGCUAUGUAUAAUUCAAUUCAAUAAAAUUUUAUUAAUCAAGUGUUAUAAGUAAAGUCAUAAAACUAACAUAUCAAAAAUGUUCAUGUGUUCAGCUUGAUCGAAAGACUAGAUAUGGGCACCACUUAGGUAAAUCAAGAAGAGUUACUUUUCUAAGAUAUGCAGAAGAAUAUUAGUACAAAGAGAUAAAUAAUGUUUCCCAGGUCAGGUGGAGUUGUAAGCUUGUGAAUCCAAAAAUCAAGAACCAAAAUGAUAACAUAUGUGUGUGAGAAGGUCUUGUUAGACCUUUGGAAAGUCCAGCUGCCCUCCUACAAGCUCAGCUUUAUGUGUAUAUGCAUGUGUGUGUGUGUAUGUGUGUAAGUGUGUGUGUGUGUAAGGAUUUGCACAGAGACAGAGGCUGCCCUGGAAUGUGCAGGGGACCACCUCCUCUGGACCAUGAAUCUCGGUGAUGUACCAUAUAUAAUCUGACUACUCAGUUCAGUACAGUCUAGUCAGGCGUGAGCACAGGGCUUAUUUAUCACUCUCAGCUGUUCCCCGCUAACACAGCCUGGUCCACCAUCUUGACUGAACUUGAGCUGCAGAACCAGAACAAGGAUGAGUCACCCAGAUUGCUCAGCAAAUCACCGCAGCAGGCCCUUAGACCAGUCUUAAAGCUCCUCCUUUGUGUAAAGGCACUAGACUUAGCUGUCAGGCGAGUGUGAAGAGCUGUUCAGAUUCUAUGAUUUAUUUCCCAUGCUAUUGCAAAAUUUUAUUUUUUCUUUCACUAUAUUUUCUCUGGUAAAUAUUUGGGCUGUUAAUAGAUUUUCUUUCCUGAAAAAAUUGAAAUUGCUACUCUUUAAGUACUCUUUAAGAGUACUCUUUAAGAGAUAUGAGUUUGAAGCAACCAGUCUUAUGCGCCUUCACGCAGUUUUCUUGAAGUACGUGAUGCUCUGCCGUAUAUAAAAACAGUUAAGACUGUCAGUUUCUUGAUUUCUAGGAAACCAGAACUGCUCAAAAGAAAAAGAAUCCAACAGUAAAAUUUUAGUAACUACUUUUUUUUAAAAUCAGGCAUACCUACAUUUAAAAAUAAUAACUCUCUGAAAUAAGGGACUACAGACAUAUUCUCUGAUUUCUGCCAGUUCAUUGUGUCCUUAAUUUCCUCUAACUGCGUCUUCAGCGAGCCCCACAAUGAAGUACAAUAUUAGAUGUUCACUUGUAUGAUAUCAACCUUGUAUGAAGAGAAUGAAUAAAAAAUGAAGUUCUUAGCUGUGAUCUAUUUCAGAUUAGCCAUUUUCAUUUAUAAAACUGUUUAUUUUACUUUGUCAGCUUGAAGGUCAAUCUAACUUCAAAUUGCAUAUUGCAGAAUUUCAACAAAGAUAUGAGGCCCAUCGCUGCUCCCUUUAAGACUAAAGGUGAAAAGCUGAGUCUUAACCGGGAUAUUGGGUAGAGCUUUAUGAAAUGGACCAGAUCACAUUGAUAUAAGACUUGCAAAGACACUUCACUUUGAAGUCAAAACAUCAGCGCCUGGACAGGGUGGCAGGUGGCAUCAGUAUUAGCAAGUAUUAAUUGUGGGCAUUAACCCAGGACAAGAAAACACUUGUCACACACUAAGGAAAGAAUGAACAAUAGCCAUCAUAUCAGCUACCGUUUAUUGAACACUUACUGUAUAUCAGGCAUCAUUCUAUGCAUUUUAGAUUAUCUCAUGAUGUCUCCACAAUAACUCUUUGAAGUAGGUACUAUUGCUAUCACAUUUUACAGAUGAAAAAGCUGAGGGACAAGGAAGUUAAGACUCUUGGCCAAGAUCACACAGCAAGUACAUGAGGGAGCAAGGUUUCAAACCCAGGCAGAAAGACUCCAAAACUCAUAUUCUAAAUGACAAGGUAUGUGAAUAUGCAAUGUAGAGGACACUACAAAGACUAUAACUCAAUGUGCUCAGAUAUUGACCUGUAAUUAAAAAAAAAACCUAGCACCUCCUACAGACUCCGAUAGCACUCUUAGAUCAUCACAUCUUCCAAUAAUUACAUAUUUCACACACCCCGACUUGGUGGUAAACUUCACGUGGACAGAGACCAUGUCUGUUUUGUUCACGACUGUAAUGUUGGUGCCUAGCACAUUACCUGUCACAUUGUAGCCAUUUAAUCAAUAUUUAUUGACUAAAUAUUCAAUAAAUAGAUUUCUUGAAUAUUUACUGAAAUGUGAUUUCUUGUGAGGCACUGUCCAUUCCUCAGGAUGGUUUUAAAUAAGGCCACAGAGUUUAGCAAAAAGAAUGUUGCAUUUGGACAUAAAACUUAAGUUCUAUCCUAACACUGCAACAUCUCAGUUCUGAACAACAACAUCCUUGGACAAGCCACUAAACCUCUGGAGUCUCGAUUUUAUCAUCUGAUCAGCAAAUACAAUAAAGAUAUGUUUCCUAAGAAAGUUUUGGGUGCUACGCAAAUCCUCAUUAUUAUAACUAUGGGUUCUUCUAUUUGAUGACGAAAUAUCUAAAAAGGUAGAUCCAAAUAAGGAAACCAAAUCCUUUUCAUGGAAUCCAGAGACAGGAACACAGACCAGGAAGACACAAAUGCUAAAUGCUCAUUUCACUGAAAAGAGCUUAUGUCCUCAAACUUGCCUGAAUAGGCCUGGUUGCUUUUCUUGUUACAUAUCCCAUCUUAGUACUUGUACUGAAGGAAACAGCAGUGCAGGUAUGCCUCUGAGAUUAAAGCAUUUCUCAACUGAUUCAGGUCAGCAAGCCUUCUACCCUUUAAGAUAGGCUGACUAUUUAAACAUUUUAAAAUGCACCCCAAAUUCUUUGUCCAGAGUUUAACCCCCAAAGGCGUCUUCAAGCUUUUACUCAAGUCGACCUUCUCAACAUUUCAGCCAUGUUUCCUGAAGACACUCCCUCCUUUAGGGUGGCUUAUUUGAGAAGCAGUCUUUUGUCUCCAGUAAGGAAAAUAGUUUUGCUUUUUGGUUAUAUAUUUUCUUUUUCUGAAAGGACCAAGCUCAGAAACUACUGUGAGAUAAAAUCAUAGAUGUACUAUUUCAUACGGAGGGAGCCCAGAUUUAUUUUUUCUUUGAUGGGAAUUUUAGCAAUGCCCCCAAAAUAUAUAGCUUUCCUAAAUCAGUCAGUUACAAAAACGAAGUAUGUCUGUAUUUGGCAAGUGAAUUUAAAAAUGGAUUCUCAUAUUGUAAUAAUUCCUUUUAUAAGUGGAGUUGCUUAUUAUAAAAUUUUACCAUUUUGACAUUAUCUUACACCAAUUAGAAGUCCAUUCAACCUCAGCUGAAACCCACAACUUUUAAAAUACUCUUUAAAACCAAUUUCCAUUGUAACAAAAACGAUGAAUAAUUUUUUGUUAUUAAGUAUAAUAAUAGCUGACAUAUAUUUUAUGAUCAAAAACAUUGCUAAUAUAAAAACGGAUUUUAAAAUUGCAAAUAAACCUUUAAAAAGUGACUUAUCCAGGGGUUCUAAACUUGUGGUCCAUAAAUAGAAUUAAGAAAGUCUUUGAAUAUGCAUAAAAACAAAAAUUAUACUUUUAUUUUCAUAACGUCUAAUUAAAAUCUUGCAUUUCCUUCCAUUAUGAAUGUCAGGAACCAAUCACAAUAGUAUUAGCAGUUACCUGUGAUUUUGUCAUUAACAAAAAUCACAAACAUUUUCAAAUUAUAUUCAGUUACUGCAAAUAUUUCAAAAUAUCUUUUUUACCCAUCACUCCAUCCAAAUUGUGGUAGUUCUUAGACAAACUACUAGAGCAUAUUGUUUAAUGUGUUAAUAAAGAAACUCACAUUUCUUGAUCACAAUGUUUCAAAAUUUUGCUAACUGCCCUUCCAUACAAUUGGUUUCCUUUGAAACCCUAUGUAAUUUACCUUAUGCAUUUAAAAACCUUACACUCACACCCUAAUCCUUGGAACCUGUGAAUGUUACCUUAAAUGGCAAAAGGUCUUUACAGAUGUGAUUAAGUUAAUGAUCUUGAGGUGGACAGAUUAUCCUGGAUUAUCCCAGUGGGUGCUAAAUGUUAUUACAAGUGUCCCUGUGUGAGGGAGGUAGAGGGAGAUUUGACGACAGAAGAGAAGACGCCCACAUGACAACAGAAGCACAGAUUGGAGAGGUGACCUUGAAGAUGGAGGAAGUGGCCACAGAAAAUGAAACAGGCAAGAAAUAGAUAGUCCUUUGGAGUCUGCAGAGAGUGGAUGGCCUGCCAAUACCUAGUUUUGGCCCAGGGCAACCAAUUUUGGACUUCUUGAUCCCAGAACUGUAAGAUCAUAAAUUUGUGUUGGUUUAAGCCACAAAAUAAAUAAAUACAUAAAUAAAAAUAAUAAAUAAAAACUUUAUUCUGAGAGGGAGUCCACAGGCUUUACCAAACUAUGAAAGGGGUCCUUGACACCAAAAAGCAUUAUGAAUAUCUAUCUAAAAACCAUAUUAAACAGUUUAGAGUAUGCUAUGGACUGAAUUGUGUCCCCUCAAAAUUCGUAUGCAGAAACCCUACCCCCCAAUGUGACUAUAUUUGGAGAUGGGGCCUUUAUGGAAGUAUUUAAGGCUAAACGAUGCCAUAAGGGUGGAGCUCCGACCCAAUCGUGUUAGUGUCCUUAUAAGAAGAGACACCAGAGCUGGCCCACUCUCUCUCCUAGUGAGGACACAGCAAGAUGGCGGCCAUCUGCAAACCGGGAAGAGAGCUCUCACCAGAACCUGACCAUGCUGGCCUAAUUUUGGACUUUUAGCCCCCAGAACUGUGAGAAAAUAAAUUUCUGUUGUUGAAGCCCCCUGAUCUGUGAUAUUUCGUUGUAGUAGCCCAGGCUGACUGAUACAGAGCAAUUCUAGCUUUUUCCUUUUCAAAGGCUUUCUUGCUACUUCCUUUAGUGGCAAAUCUGGAUACUAUCUGGGACUUUGCUGUACUCCUUUGUCAGGAUUCAAGACCUAGACCCACUUUUAAGCCCAAAGUCCUGUGAGUUGUUACUUAAAUAAACAUCAUAAAAAGGAAACAACGUAUUAGACAAUAAUAAACAACAUUUAAAUACAGUUGUCAUUUGUUUCAGAAGUAGGUGGCAGUUGCUGCUGCUGCUAUCAGAUUCUAUUUCCAUGAGCAACAUUGUUUUCACAAGUCCUCUGUGAUCAACUCCCUCUGAGACACUCAGCGGCUCCUGGUACACACAGUGACUUUGCAGGCCCUGCCCCACAGGGAACACCACAAUUCACCCAAUUAGGCAACUAGGUGUCCUGAAUUUUUGUUAAGGACCAUAUUCCUACAUCAGCACUCAUAACCUCCUUCAAGAAACACACGGUACCAUUUCUGGUUAACCUUAAAACAAUCACAUUAAAAUAAAGAGGACUGUCAGUGGAGCAAUUUUAUAAAUAGCUAAAAUUAAACAGAGCAAGACUUGCAGUGCUAAUGCAUAAGCAAAGAACUGCCUGCCUGCAUUUCAUCGAGAAUUCCUGAUAGCAAACUGCAGUACGUUUAUUAUACAUUAAUUCAACACAGCACUCAAAAUGAAUUUAUGCCCUGGCUGAAGGGUGCAAUAUGGAAACUAAAUAUUAUUUAUUAUCUUAAUAUUAGUAACCAUACUAAAAAAAAUUGUGUUAACAAUUCAGAGUGUUUAAAAAACUAAGGAUACCACAACUCUCUUUACCAACCAACGGCUUCUGCCUUAAUUUAUGCAAGUGUAGCCUAUAGCUAAAAUCUUUGUAUAUUUGUUUCCCCAUGGUAUUAGUGCUCAAAAAUAGGACACUCUUUCAAGGGCACCUUAUAAACACAGAACUAUAAUUUAUUUGGCAAAUUAAAGCUCAUAUAAAAUGUGCACACAGAGGUACAGAUUAACAUAUUUAAUUUCAAUAUUACCUGCAAACCUAUUUUUUCCCAUACACUGUUCUAAUUAGUCAUAUAAAAUCGUGUCUGCGUAUUAUAAGCAAUUAUUUUAGUGGAAAUAGACACUGGAUCUGAAUUAAAUAUACUGUAAAAAAGAUAACGCUUUUAUGGAAAUUAAUAUAUCCAUUUGUAUCCAGAAAAAUGUGUUCUAGUUAAAUGGCAUGAGAAUGUUAAGCAUUCAAAACCUGAUUGCGGUAAAAGUUGAGAUUUUUAUGAUUUAAUAAUACAGAAUAAUAUGCAAUCUUGGUAAUACACCAGUAUUUAUAUUUUGAUGCUAUUUCCAAGUUUCCGAAUCCCCAGUAACCAUUAGAGUCACUUUAUGCAGGAGGAUUUUUCCUAUUAUGAAUAUUCACUCCCCCUACAGUUGAAUGUGCAAAUUGUUUGUGAACAUUCUAUUUAGCAAAUGAUUCUUUUCCUAUUAAGCCUAUACUGGGAAUGAUAGUGGGGUACGUAUCAAGCUUACAUUGCAUUAAAAUAGUUGCAAAUAGAUGCUGAUAAAAGAUUAUGCCUGUAAGUAAACGGAAGCUAUAACUUAAGUGGCAGGAUUAUUAGGCUUUCUAAAAGUUGUAAACUGACAUAAAGGCUUCGCCACUUAAGGAUUUUUGGAAAGAACAGAAUUAAAUUGAAGACACUUGACCCAGCACAGGGCAUGUGACGGGAUGAUCUAGUACCUCAGACUGGAAGCUUCUCAUUCUUAGGUCUCAGCUCAGAUGUCACCUCCUCAGAGAAAUCUUCCCAAACUCCUUAUCUCAGAAGGCUCCCCAGCCCCAGCCCAGUCUAGUACUUUCACCUCCCCACCUGAUGUGUUACUUUCACAGGACAAAUCAGAUUUGUUCAUUUCCUUGUUUAUUAUGUGUCUUCCCUACUAGAGUAAACUCUGUAAGGAUAGGGACCAAUCAAGCAUUUAGCACUGUUCCUGGCACAAACAAGGAGCUCAAUUACCAUUUUCUGAUUGAAUGAAGGAGCUAAUGUGAUAUUUCUUUAAGACAUUUCUCUAAGAUUAUUUAGGAUUUGGUUGUCAAGAAAUCUUAGAUUUAUUAAAAGGUUUUUAGGAUAUUCCCUUGGAUUCAGGAUUAGCUGUCCAUUCUAUUCACAAAAACAUGGGGCUAGAAAAAUCGCGUCCUUCCCCUCUUGUGUACCUUCCCAAGCAGACGAGAAUCUGCCUUGUAGAUUUAAAUGUAUGUUGUGUGAGGAGAGCCCACACAACUCCCUGAAUGACACGUCAUUGUUUUUGCGGCUACCCGUCAUGGCCCCAGGUAACUCUUCCUGCAAAAUACUGCAAACGUCCACAUAUCACUUCUUCUAACCCUCAUUUUCGCUAACUCUCAUCACUCCGGGCCUCCUGGAAUGGUUUCCUAGUUUGGGGCAAUUAGAAUCAUUAAGUCCAACCAGCAAAACCCACUAAGAUUCACCAUGGUUACUCGUUUAAACAUUGUCAACCUCUGGUCUGUCCAUCUUCUAAAGACUUUCAGAAAAGACAAGCCCACAAAACUCAUUGCAAUGUAUUAUAAUGUCAAAAAAGUGUUCCUCCUGCCUCUCCAAAAUCCUUGGUAGAGGCUUUCUUUUUGGAGUCUCAGGGUAGAUAAAAAACAGCUUGUCACCACUCAUUAACCAUGACCUGUUCUAACAUUGUAACAGAGGACCUGAUAUUGUAUAACAUUGGAUCUAACGUUAUAUAAGGGGACCAGCUCCUGGUCUUUUCCCUAUCACUCAUUAUUUUACAUGCCUGGUUCUGUUCUUCUUUCCAAUUUGAAAUGACUUUCACAACUCAAUCUGAGGGCCACACCACCAGGAACACCAUACCCGGUUUCUGUUAUUCCUCUCUAGCUUUUGUGGUUUUCAAUUUUUUUCUUUAAUAAAAUGAGUGUAAUGUUAAAUAUUAUUCACAAUCUUACCUUGUUUUGCUUUAAAUUGUAGCGUCAAAAGCCUGUUUUGCAACUUUGUCAUUCAUCCUGCUUUCUCCCAUGACUUCUACGUACAUUUUAAGCAGAAACUUCUGUUACACUGUUCUUGAAACACUUCAUUAUUAACUUCUUUCUAGCUAAAGGAUUUUAAUCCUUUGUUUCAUAGUCUUUUUCUUCUUAGCUUUUUUUUUUUUCUGGUGAGGAAGAUUGUCCCUAAGGUAACAUCUGUUGCCAAUCUCCCUCUUUUUCCUUCAGGAAGAUUGUCCUUGAGCUAACAUCUGUGCCAAUCUUCCUCUAUUUUUGUAUGCAGGAUGCUGCCACAGCAUGGCUUGACGAGCGGUAUGUACAUCUGUAUCUGGGAUCCAAACCCUCGAACCCUGGGCCACCAAAGCAGAGCAUGCAAACUUAACCACUGCGCCACCGGGUGUACUUUUCUUAGCAUUUUUGAAUGGCUUCCCAUUGCUCAUAAAUUCAAAAUCCUCACAUGGCCUGCAGCCCCUGGCUUAAUCUGGCCCUCCCUUCCUCUUCAACCUCAUUUCAUGUCACCCGCCCCCAGCUCCACACACAAAGUUCUUGCCACGCUCACCCGUGUUCUUUAGCAAGCACACCAGGUCCAGUCCGGCUCCGGGUCACCUGCUCGUGCCAUCAUUCCGCCCUGGCUCUCUUCACCCAACCUCUCCUCCCUUUUCCAGGCUAACUCCUUCCUACUCAUCCUUCAAGUCUCCUUGAAAGUGCCACUUUCUGCAGGAGGCUCACCCUGACCACCUCAUACCUCAGAGUCCCAGGAGAUUUUCUUUCACAGCACUUUCUCUUAUUUCUCUAAGUAUGUGUUUAACACUCGUGGCAUGAAGAGAGGCUGGGUCCUUGGUGCUCUCAUCUCUCUCCACCCUCACUGGUUUGGCAGUGCCACCCAUCUCAGGGCUUUAAAUAUCAUUAACAUACUGACAAUUCCCAAAUGCAUAUAUCCAUUCCAGAUUUCUCUCCUAAAUGCCAGAUUCAUAUGUCUAAUUUUCUGCUUGACAGUUGACCUAAAUAUACUUAUAGACAUAUCAGACAUCACACGUCCACCUCUGAAUUCCCACCUUCCCCCCAAAACCUGCUCUACCUGCAGCCUUUCCCCCAUUUCAGGUGACAGCACCUCCAUUCUUCCAGGUGCUCAGGCCAAAGAACCCUGGAGUCCUUCUUCACAUGUCUUUCUCUCUUACCCUCCUCCAAUCUUUCAGGGAAUCCUAUUAGGGAUUCCUUCAAAAUAUGCUCAAAUUUUGUCCAUUUCUCACCACACCCCACUCCUGGAUCACUGCCUGAGCCUCUUACAGGGCUUCCUGAUACGUUUGUCCUUCACACUGUAUCUCAACACAACAGCUAGGUGGAACUUUUAAAACCCAAGUGAGAUUGUAUCACUCAUCUGCUGAAAAUCCUUCAAUGGCUCCCCAUUUCCCUUGAAGGAAGAACCACAGACCUUACAAUGAUUUGCGUUGUCUGUCUGACUCUCUUCUUCACUCUGCUCCAACCACAGCAGCCACGCUCCUGCCUUAGGAUCUUCGUAUUGACAGGUCUCUUGUCUUAGAACGCCCUUCACUCAAAUAUCCCCAUGGAUAAUCCCUCACCUCUUUCAAAGCUUUUCUUUUUCUUUUCUAUAUCAAUUAGCACCUUCUACCUUCAUAUGUAAUCUACUCACUUUUUGCAACUAUUAUUUAUUGUCCAUACUCCUUACCAGAGUGUCAGCUCUAUGAGCUCAGGGACUUUAUUCACUGAUAUAUCCCAAGUAGCUGAAAUAUAGUGGGUUCUCAACUAUUUAUGAGAUGAAUGUAAAGGAGCCUCCUAUACAAACUUCAGUUUACAAGUGUUUACAAGGUUGUUUUAAGGAUAAAUGAAAAAAUAUGUGUGAAAGUGCUUUGUAGGCUAAAGUCCCCAUUGAUGAAGACCCCAAUCUUUAUUCCUUCCACAGAAAUCACCGUUGUUAUCAGCGGCGUAUUUUUUUCACUUAAUCUAUGUAUAUAUGAUCACAAAAAAUAUAUUAUUUAAUAUGAGCUUCUUUUCUUAAAAUAGUGAACAGCAUCAUAACAUUGAAAAGCGAAAACCCUUCACAAGACAAAGUUCUUUAUGAGCUCAAGAUAUGACAGGUGAACCAAUGCCUCACCAUAAAGUGCCAGGGGAGUGACAGAAAGAGUGACAGACAAAUUAAAGAGUAAGUUCUGUUUAGCAAUUUUGGGUGACAGCACUUAAAAUUUCUAGCUCUAGGAUUGUUUAGGAAUGACAGUAUGCAGCUGAGAAAGGCAGCCCACCCGUUAUGAAAAGAAAGUUGUGUGAGAACUUAGAAAAAGCCGUCCUCAAAAUGGGAAAAAAUUCCUUACAUAUGUUAUUUAAAGAGUAACCCAUUAACCUUUUACACACUCUUCAAAUUGUCUAUUGCCACAUUUCCCCAUUAGCUCCAUGUUUGAAUCAAGGUUUUCAGACAGAUUUUGUUUCACUACCCCAUAGAAAUGUCAUUAGAAAUUGAAUUUAGUGUACAUUCAUGGUUGCCGUAGUUGUUUAGUUGUCAUUUUUCCAGGCAAUGGACUGUGCUAUACAAACAUCAGCUUCCGCCCAGGGAAAGGCAUCAAGAUGAAGCCUCCCCUUGAUAAGGUGUUUUCUGCAUGUGAUAACAAAUGGCACCCAAACUUGCAUUGAUGUCACUGGGGACAGUAAUCACUUAUUGAGUGCCUAUUGUAUACUAGAAAUUUCGCUAAGUAUUUUGUGCUCAUCAUCUGUCUCUGACAUAUAUAACGGAUACUCAACAAAUGUGUGCUGGCAGGAAAGAGGAAGGAAGAAGAAAGGAGAGAGGAAAGGCGGGAAGGAAGAAAGUUUCCUUAUAGUUUAUAACUUUUACUGAACAUUUACUUUUUUGCAGAUCAUUUUCAGAACUUGAAAAACAAGUUGUUGUGCAGGUAGAAACGUUCUUUUUUUCCACUGGGAUUUAGUGAAGCAGGUCCCACAGCUGCCCAGAAACAUGCGCAAAUGGCCUUUGGAUUGUGCCUUGACAGCCUCUAGUGAGGAAUAACUCUGCUGCCAGCAACUAAGACUAACAGCUCCAAAGUAAAGAAGUAAACAACACUGAGUUUUCCUCGCUCCAAAGAAAGCCUGAGAGGACUCCGUUGCCAUCAGCUCCUGGCUUCCCCUUUGCUUUUUUCACUCUGAAGAUUUGCAGUCAGGAGGCACCUGCUCAGAACAGAGAUUACUCGCAUACGGGAUCAACAGAAGAGAGUGCAAAGGUCCAGGCCAGGAGCCAGCUGUCAUCUAAAGAGGGACUUCAGCUGCAAAGCCUGUCCAAACAUCCAUCACAAACAGGUUUUGGAAGUUUUUAUAUGGGUUUGAGCCAGGUUUUUACCUUAUCCAUAUCCCAAAAAGAUGAUCCAUCCCCGUGCCAGAAACUUUCAAAUAAUAAUAAAAAUUAUUUGAUUAUAAGAAAGAAAGGGAAAAGAAAAUGACCAGGCCUCAAACAGAGAAUGACUCAAACAGAGCCUGAGCAGUUGGGAGGAGUCUCCCCGUUGGAGAAUCUACACCAUAUUACAGACUGAAUUUCAACAAGCUAUUUGGGAUGAUUUCGUGACUAAGCAUGAAGCUGGAAUUAUACUGCCUCCUUGGUCAAAGUGCUGUGGACACUUUCCCUUCAUUAUUUCAGGUUUUUUUCUAUGCUGGCACUUUAUUCAAGCUCACAAAAUAACUGUACUUUGUAAACCACAAAAGAAAAUGUACGCCCUUUUAUUUCUAUUGUGUUGGGAGGAUUUGGUGGGGGGUGUUAAUGUUAACUGUUAUUGAUCAUGUUAUCAUUAUUAUUACCAACUUUAACCUAGUCUUCCAUAUCCAUAUAUUUUGCAUAUGCAAAACAACAAAAGCAAAUAGCCAUUUGAAUGUAAUUUGGGUUUCUUCCUUUGUUCUCAAUCUGGUAUGAUUCCAACUAGUUUCAACUCACCUCCUAACCCAUUGCCUGAACUUUCAUUUGCUGCUGAUUCCUAUCCUUUGGGGUUUGAUAUUGGAGAAAAAAACAUAACUAUCUUAGGAAAUGUAGAAAAAAGUAUUUAAUACUCAUUUAAAGUUUAAUUCACCCACAAGUAAAAUACACAACUAUGUACUGGGAGGAUUUGGGCAGAAAAAAAGAAGAAGAUUGGCAACAGUUGUUAGCUCAGGUGUUAAUCUUCAAAAAAAAAGAAGUGCAGGGUUAGAUUUUGCCUUUAAAGAAGAAAUUUAAUUUUAAAAACACUUUAAAACUUAUGACUAGAAAUAAACUUUCUUAACCUGAGAAAUGACAUCAACGUAAACCAAGAGCAGUCAUCAUAUUUAAUGAUAAAAUUAUGAAAUAAUCCCCAUUUAAAUCACAAACAAAACAAGAUGCCCACUAUCCUACUAUUACUGCUUCUGGUCGAUAUUCUCCUGGAGGUCUUACAAUAAUAAGGUAUGAAAGUAAAAUAAAAUAUGUAGAAAUUAGUAAAGACAAAGUUGCCUUUUCCAUACAAUGAGAUUACCUAUAGCUUAUAUUCAAGAUAAUACAGGCAAACUAUUGAAACCAAUAACAGAGUUCAGCAAAGUCAUUGGAUAAAAGUAAUUCGACUGGUUAACACAUAUUGAAUUCUCACUGUGGGUCAGGCACAUUUCUAGGUACUUUCUGUAUGUUAUUAACUAAUAAUAUUAACUAAUCUAAUAUUCACAAUAGCCCCUUGAGAAUGAUACGAUGACUAUUUCCAAAAAAAAAAACUAAUGUAUAGAAAGGUAAAAUAACUUAGUGUUAUAGGUUGAAUUGUGUUCCCCGAAAGAUAUGUUGAGGCCCUAAGCCCUGGUACCUGUGAAUACAACCUUAUUGAAAAUCAGAUCUCUGCAGAUGUAAUCAAGUUAAGAGGAGGUCGUUAGGGUGGGCCCUAAUCCAAUAUGACUGAUGCCCUUAUAAGAAGACAGAAAUUCGGACAGAGACACACACAGGGAGAAUCCCAUGUGACAACAUAGUCGGAGAUUGGAGUUAUGCAACUACAACCCAAGGAAUGCCAAGGAUUGCUGGCAGCCAUCAGGAGGUGCCAACACCUGAUUUCAGACUUUUAGCCUCUAGAACUGCAAGACAAUAAAUUUCUGUUGUUUCAAGCCACCCAGUUUAUGGUACUUUGUUAGGGCAGCCCCAGAAAACUAAUAAACUUGCCAAGGAUCACACAGCUAGUAAAAUGACAAAGAUGGGACAUAAGAUCAGCAUCCCAAAAUACUCUACAUCAGUAAAAACAAGUCAGAAAAUGUAACGCAAAAACAGAUACUAUUCACAAUUACAUACACUUCAAGGUACCUUAAAGCAAAUAUAAUACAAAAUGUUCAGGAUAAAAUUGAUUCUCAUUAUUUGUCAUAAUUAUGUUCUAUAAAGUUGCCACAAACACUCAGGUAGCAAAUACUGAGCCAUUGCUCCAAGGAGAAAUACAGGGUUAGGGUCCUGCCAGUAUCUGUGACAUUUUCACCAACUCAUCAAUAUAUAACCUUGUGUCAUGUGUGUUUCUGUUUAAAAAAAACCUCAUUUAAUAUAGAUUGCUGAUUUAUUCACACUAAACUCACAGCCAACAGCACUAUAACUCACGCCUGAACAAAGCUUAUCUAACACAAGUAUUUUCUUCUGUAAGGCACAGCACAGCCUACCUGCACUUAGGAACACUGGAUAGUCCUUCAUCACCAUGCUUGGAGGCCAUUUUAAAUAAUAAAAUCAACCAAAAAAAAGCACAAAAAUGUGAAAAACAUGGCACUAAAUGAACUGUGAAAAGGACACGUCCGUUUACAAUAUGAGAAUUGCAACAAGAAGGCAAAACCUCACCUGUUGGAACUCAGCCAGGAACAUCAAUGUAUGUCUGGCAACUCAAAUUUUUCACCACUCUACACGUGUUCAUGAGUUUCCAAAAAACCACAGUGAGUAUUGACUUGGGGGUUACAAAUAAAUUUUAGGAUGUAGGUAAAUUCACAAAUAUGCAAUCCAUGAAUUAUGAUCACCAACUGUAUUUAUGGAUAAAAUUAUAAAACCUUAUGAAAAGACAAAAAAAGACCUAAAUAAGUGGAGAUGGAAGAUGGUCAUGAAUAGAAAGACAAAAUUAUAAAGAUGUUAAUUUUACCAAAAAUUAAUUCCAUCAAAAUCCCAAAGAGUAUUUUUGAGGAACUUGAAAAACUGAUCCUAUAAUUUAAAGGGAAGAGUAAAGAACCAAGAAUCGUUGAAAUAAUUUCGAAAAAUAAGGUGUAGAGACUUAUUCUGCAAUAUAUUAGAAUUUAGAAUAAAGUUAUAUAAAUUAAGAUAGCAACAUUUUGACAUAAGGCUAGACAAAUAGAAGAGAGGAAUAGAAAAAAGAGACCAGAAUUGACCCACACAUAUAUAGAAAUGUUCUUACGUCUGAGAUGGAGUUACAAAUCAGAGGAGAAAGAUUAACUCUUCAGAAAACAUAGUUAAGAACAGUAAGUUGUCCAGGUAGAAAAAAAAGAUAGAUCCCUACUUCACAUCAUAUCAAAAAUAAAUUGAGAGACAGUGUCAAGAUGGUGGCAUAGGCAGACUCUGCCUCCUCCUAUGGACAUAACAAAUUUACCGCUACACUUGGAACAAUUACCCAUAAGAGAUAAUGAAAACUAGAUAAAAAGAAUCCCCACAACAAGGGAGAGUGCUGACUGAGGUGGAAGAGGCAGAAAUUUGGGGGCCAGCCCGGUGGCACAGCGGUUAUGUUCGCAUGUUCCACUUCGGCAGCCUGGGGUUUGCCAGUUCAGAUCCUGGGUGCGGACAUGACACUGCUUGGCAGGCCAUGCUGUGGUAGCUGUCCCACAUAUAAAAAGUGGAGGAAGAGAGGCAUGGAUGUUGGCUCAGGGCCAGUCUUCCUCAGCAAAAAGAGGAGGAUUGGCGGCAGAUGUUAGCUCAGGGCCAAUCUUCCCUGGGAAAAAAAAAUUCUUUAUUAAAAAAAAAGAAAUUCCUUUCUGGAGAGAAAAAAGUCACCUUCAAGCUGCAGUGCCUCACAGCCGGCUGGGAGCAAUCAUAAGAUAGGAAGCCUUCCCUGGAGGAGUGGGAGAUCUGAGCUGGGGAGAGUUACCACAAUAAGCAGCUUUUGGACUCAGCACAACUGAGAUGAGUGUCAUAAUAUCUGGUUUUGCUGACUACUAACUACAAUGGGGAAUACUCCCAGAAAAGCUAUAGACAUAAGCAAGAAAAAAGCCUGCUCUUAAAGGGCCCACACACAAAUUCACCCAUUUCAGAAAGCAUCCUAAAAUCACUAGAAAGAAAGGUACACAGUCCGUUAGUGGAAAGAGGCUCAUUUGAUAGGCUCUAUGCAUUUCAGUGAGAGGUGAGAUCUCUCCAGGGACUAAGACAUUGGUGGCAGACAUUAUUGUAAUUUAGUACAGGCGUACUGACACAGAUGCCAGCAGAUAACAUUGGAGUUCUUCCCCUGUCCUGUUAUCCCAGGGGUUCUGCCCACCCACUAGAUCACUGGUUUAAUCCAGCUCAGCAAGGGCAGACAGCCCCACCUAGGGAUUGGCCCCACUCAACAGCAAGCCCUCAGGCAACUUUUGAGCCAGCAUAGGUGAGGUGCCUGGACCCUCGGCAGCUGGGUGAGCAGGUCUGCCUCGUAGGGAAGGGCAUGCAUGAGGAGCAGGCUUGCAUUGGUGGAGUGUGUAGAGCCUCUACAGUGGGGUGACUGGGUCCGCUUCAGUGGGUUGGAGCAUGCGCACAGGGCAGGACUGUGUCAACAGGGUGUGUGGCCCUGUGGGUGGUGGAGCUUGUCAGGUGCAGCAGACUUGUGCUUCUCAAACAGCCACGUAGAGGAUUGGCCCCACCUUCCAAAGUCUGAAACAAUUGGGUGCUCCCAUUCCUGGGGCCAGCCUCCCUCAGCUGCAAUCUUGAGAGAGCUGACAACAGCCUUGCAGGUAGAGGCCUACAACAAGUGUAAGACACUGAGACUAGCAACCAGCAAUGCUGGGGGCCUAUUCACUUAACAUAAAAACUGAAACAGGAAGGUGCUUUUAGACCUUGCAGCCAACUGUACUGGGGGGUCCCCACACUUGAUAAAGUGAUUGAAGGAUCCAUAGCAGCCACACACAGCUGAGCAUUACAACCAGCUGGCGAGGGGGACAACUUAGCCUCCACAGGCACCUGCAGCAAGAGCAACCCUGCCACAACAGAAGAACACAUGUAGCCCACACUGGGGACACUCCUGGAACAUUUGGAACUGGUGACGAGAAGGAAGCACACUGCUGAGCCUCACAAAGCAUCUCCUACAUAAGGCCACCUCUCCAAGAUUAGUAUACGUAGCUGACCUACCUAAUACAUACAUGUAAGCAUAGGGAAAGACUCAAAAUGAGGAGACAAAGGAACAAGACAAAACCCCAGAAAAGGAACUAAAUAAAACAGAGAUCAGAAAUCUACCUGACAAAGAGUACAAACUAGAAGUCAUAAGGAUGCUCACUCAUCUUGGUAGAACAAUGGAUGAACUCAAUGAGAACUUCAACAAAGAAUUGGAAAAUAUAAAAAAAAGAACCAAUCAGAAAUGAAGAAUAUAAUAUUGGAAAUGAAAAAUUUACUAGAGGGAAUCAAAGGCAGAGUAGACGACACAGAAGAACAGAUCAGUGAGCUGGAAAAAAGAAGAAAGGAAAGAGAAGGCUCAAAUGAAUAAAAUCAGAAAUGAAAGAGGAAACAUUACAACAGACACCUCAAAAAUACAAAAGGUUAUAAAAGAAUACUAUGAAAAGCUAGACACCAACAAACUGGAUAAUCUAGAAGAAAUGGAUAACUUCUUAGAAUCAUAAAACCUUCCAAAACAGAAUCAAGAAGAAAUAGAGAAUUUGAAUAGAACAAUCACCAGUAAAGAGAUUGAACAGUAUUCAAAAACCUCCCAAAAAAUAAAUGUCCAGGACCAGAUGGCUUCCCUGGUGAAUUCUAUCAAACAUUCAAAGAAGCCUUAAUACCUGUCCUUCUCAAACUCUUUCAAAAAAUUGAAGAGGAGGGAAAGCUUCCUAAUUCAUUCUACAAAGCCAAUAUUACCCUGAUAACAAAACCAGAUAAGGACAUCACAAAGAAAAACCAAAAUUACAGGCCAAUAUCACUGAUGAACAUAGAUGUAAAAAUCCUCAACAAAAUACUAGUAAAUUGAAUAAACAAUAUAUUAAAAAGAUCAUACACCAUGAUCAAGUGAGAUUUACUCCAGGAAUGCAGGCAUGAUUCAAUAUCCACAAAUCAAUCAACAUGAUGCACCACCUUAACAAAAUGAAAAGUAAAGACCACAUGAUCAUCUCAAUAGAUGCAGAGAAAGCCUUUGACAAGAUACAACACCCAUUUAUGAUAAAAACUUUGAAUAAAAUGAGUAUAGAAGGAAAGUACCUCAACAUAAUAAAGUCCAUAUAUUACAAACCCACAGCUAAUAUCAUACUCAAUGGAGAAAAACUGAAAGCUAUCCCUCUAAGAACAAGAACGAGACAAGGAUGCCUGUCCUGCCACUCUUAUUUAACAUAGUAUUGGAAGUCCUGCCAGAGCAAUCAGGCAAGAAAAAGAAAUAAAAGGGAUCCAAAUUUGAAAGGAAGAAAUGAAACUGUCACUAUUUGCAUACAACAUGAUUUUAUAUAUAGAAAACCCUAAAGAAUCCACCAAAAAACCUUUAGAAAUAAUAAAUGAAUACAAUAAAGUUGCAGGAUACAAACUCAACAUACAAAAAUCAGCUGCAUUUCUAUACACCAGUAACAAAGUAGCAGAAAGAGAAAUUAAGAAUACAAUCCUAUUAUUAAUUACCAAAAAGAAUGAAAUACUCAGGAAUAAAUUUAACCAAAGAGAUGAAAGUUCUAAUCACUGAAAACUAUAAAGCAUUGUUGAAAGAAAUUGAAAAAGACACAAAGAAGUAGGAAGAUAUUCCAUGCUCUUGGACUAGAAGAAUGAACAAAGUUAAAAUGUCCAUGCUUCCUAAAGCAAUCUACAGAUUCAAUGCAAUCCCUGUCAAAGCUCCAAUGACAUUUUUCACAGAAAUAGAACAAAGAAUCCUAAAAUGUAUAUGGAACAACAAAAGACUCCCAAUAGCCAAAGGAAUCCUGAGAAAAAAGAACAAAGCUAGAGGUAUCAUACUUCCACAAAAACAGACACACAGAUCAAUGGAACAGAAUCGAGAGCCCAGAAAUAAACCCACACAUCUACAGACAGCUAAUUUUUGACAAGGGAGCCAAGAACAUAUAACGGAGAAAGAAAAGUCUAUUCAAUAAACGGUGUUGGGAAAACUGGACAGCCACAAGCAAAAGAAUGAAAGUAGACCAUUAUCUUACACCAUACCCAAAAAUUAACUCAAAAUGGAUUAAAGACUUGAAUGUAAAACCUGAAACCAUGAAACUUCUAGAAGAAACCAUAGGCAGUACUCUCUUCAACAUCAAUCUUAGCAGCAUAUCCUCAAGUACCAUGUCUGACUGGGCAAGCAAAACAACAGAAAAAAUAAACAAAUGGGAUACAUCAAACUAAAAAGCUUCUGCACAGCAAAGGAAACAAUCAACAAAAUGAAAAGACAACCUAACAAUUGGGAGAAGAUAUUUGUAAAGCACAUAUCUGAUAAGGGUGUAAUAUACAAAAUAUGUAAAGAACUCAUUACAUCUCAACAACAAAAAAAGUAACAACCCAAUUAAAAAAUGGGCAAAAGAUCAGAACAGACAUUUCUCCAAAGAAGAUAUACAGAUAACGAACAGGCAACGUGAAAAGAUGUUCAACAUCAUUAAUUAUCAGGGAAAUGCAAAUCAAAACUACAAUAAGAUAUCACCUUACUCCUGUCAGAAUGACUAUCAUUAACAAGACAGGAAAUAAGUGUUGGAGGGGAUGUGGAAAAAAGGGAACUCUCAUACACUGCUGGUGGGAAUGCAAACUGGUGCAGCCAUUAUGGAAAACAGCAUGGAGAUUCCUCAAAAAAUUAAGAAUAGAACUAUCUUAUGAUCCAGCUAUUCCACUGCUGGGCAUUUAUCCAAAGAACACAAAAACAUGAAUGCACAAAGAUAUAUGCACCCCUAUGUUCAUCGCAGCAUUAUUCAUAAUAGCCAAGACUUGGAAGCAACCUAGGUGCCCAUCCAGGGAUAAAUGGAUAAAGAAGAUGUGGUAUAUAUACACAAUGGAAUACUACUCAGCCAUAAGAAACAAUGAAAUCUGGCCAUUCGUAACAACAUGGAUGGACUUUCAGGGUAUUAUGCUAAGCGAAAAAUGUCAGAGGAAGGAAGUCAAAUACCGUAUGAUCUCCUUCACAUAUAGAAGAUAAAAACAACAACAAACAAACACAUAGAGACAGAGAUUGGAUUGGUGGUUACCAGAGGGGAAUGGGGGAGAGAGGAGGGUGAAAGGAGUGAUUAGGCACAUGUGUGUGGUGAUGGAUUGUAAUUAGUCUUCAGGUGGUGAACAUGAUGUAAUCUACACAGAAAUUGAAAUAUAAUGAUGCAUACCUGAAAUUUAUAUAUUGUUAUAAAGCAAUGUUACCACAAUAAAAAAAAAUUUUAGUAAAUUGAAAUGAAAAUGACAGACCCAAAUAUAAAAAGUAAAUGUUUAAAACAUUUAGGAAAAUAGAGGAGAUACUUAGAGAUUUCCAGGUAGGAAUAGAUCCAUUUAGUAGGACAGAAAAAAAACACAAACCAUAAAGAAGAUUAAUAAGUUAGACAUUAAAUUUUUAGAAGUUCUGUCCAAUAAAAGACACCAUAAAAAGUUAAAAUGCAAUCUACAGGGCUGGGAGAAAGUAUUUUCGACACACAUAAUUAACAAAAACUUAAUAUGCAAGAUCUGUAUAUAAAUCCUUAAAAUGAAUAGGAAAAAGACAAAAAUUGAUUAGAGAAAUAGAAAAAGGAUAUGAAUGUACAAAAGAUACUCAACAGCAUUAGUAAUCAGAGCAAUUCAAAACUCAAUAAACUGCAUUUCAUACUUAUUUGAUGAGCAAAAAUUAAAAAGUCUGAUAAUCCCACAUUUUGGUAAGGAUAUGAAGGAAUGAGAACUUUCAACACCGCUGAUGGAAAUUGAAUUGACAGAAACACAUUUAAAAAGAGCAAUUCGGCAAUAUCUGCCGAAGUUGAAGCUGUGUGUAUCCUUAUACUCUGUAAUUCAUCUUCCAGGUAUAGCACCUAGGAAAACUUUACAUGUGCGUGAGAAGACAUGUACAAGAAUGCGCGUUGCACCAUGUUUUGUAACAGCAAAACUCUGCAUAUUACCUAAAUAUCCAUCAACAGUAGGUUUGACUAAUUAUAGUUAUAGCUAUACAACAAAAUGUCAUAUAGGAGCUAAAAUGGAUAUAUCCAAAAGAAAGAUGCAGCAAAAUAUAUACGAAUUUCAUUUAUAUAAAGUUUAAAACAAAACAAUAUCAUAUACUAUUUAUUCAUAUAUGUGUGUCAUAAUAGUACAAAACAUUCAUGAGAAUAAUGAACAACCAUUUUAGGAUAGUAGAUUUUUCUGGGGGAGGGAACAGUAUUGAAUAGGGCUAGUCAAUUGUAUGUACAAUUUAUUAUUAUUUUUUAAUCCAUAGCAAAGACAGUAACCUUUUAAGAGUUAAUACAAGAGAGAUUGGG
ensembl:lncRNA